AGCGGUAACAGAAAGUAGCUUGCUACUUUGCUGACGAGCGGCGGACGGGUGAGUAAUGCUUGGGAACAUGCCUUGAGGUGGGGGACAACAGUUGGAAACGACUGCUAAUACCGCAUAAUGUCUACGGACCAAAGGGGGCUUCGGCUCUCGCCUUUAGAUUGGCCCAAGUGGGAUUAGCUAGUUGGUGAGGUAAUGGCUCACCAAGGCGACGAUCCCUAGCUGGUUUGAGAGGAUGAUCAGCCACACUGGGACUGAGACACGGCCCAGACUCCUACGGGAGGCAGCAGUGGGGAAUAUUGCACAAUGGGCGCAAGCCUGAUGCAGCCAUGCCGCGUGUGUGAAGAAGGCCUUCGGGUUGUAAAGCACUUUCAGUCAGGAGGAAAGGUUAGUAGUUAAUACCUGCUAGCUGUGACGUUACUGACAGAAGAAGCACCGGCUAACUCCGUGCCAGCAGCCGCGGUAAUACGGAGGGUGCGAGCGUUAAUCGGAAUUACUGGGCGUAAAGCGUACGCAGGCGGUUUGUUAAGCGAGAUGUGAAAGCCCCGGGCUCAACCUGGGAACUGCAUUUCGAACUGGCAAACUAGAGUGUGAUAGAGGGUGGUAGAAUUUCAGGUGUAGCGGUGAAAUGCGU
rnacentral:rRNA from 1 species